rnacentral:rRNA from 2 species
GGACCCGCACAAGCAGCGGAGCAUGUGGUUUAAUUCGAAGCAACGCGAAGAACCUUACCAGGGCUUGACAUCCUCUUGACAGGCGGGUAAAGCCGCCCUUCUACGGACAAGAGAGACAGGUGGUGCAUGGUUGUCGUCAGCUCGUGUCGUGAGAUGUUGGGUUAAGUCCCGCAACGAGCGCAACCCUUGCCGUUAGUUGCCAUCGCUUCGGGCGGGCACUCUAACGGGACUGCCGGGGACAACUCGGAGGAAGGUGGGGAUGACGUCAAAUCAUCAUGCCCCUUAUGUCCUGGGCUACACACGUGCUACAAUGGCCGGUACAAUGGGACGCAAUGCGGCGACGCGGAGCAAAUCACCAAAACCGGUCCCAGUUCGGAUUGCAGGCUGAAACCCGCCUGCAUGAAGUCGGAGUUGCUAGUAAUCGUGAAUCAGAAUGUCACGGUGAAUACCG